UCCUCUCUUAUAGGCCCUUGAAGUCGCUUGGGAAGGCGUCUCAUCGCGGAGAUUGGGCUGACAGCUUGCUGUGAGAAGGUGGGGACGCGGGCGGAUGCUUGAUGCGGAAAGCGAUCGCGAUACAUGGCAUGGACGCUGGCAGCGAUGCGGACGAAUGCCUGAUGUGGAAGGCUGACCGCGAUACGGCACGAAUGGAAGGUGCUGCAUUCGGAACGGCCGUCGGAAUGGAAGGCGAUCUAGGAUGCUCACCGCGUGAGGACUACGGCUGCUGGCUUUGCAGAUGGGCUGGCACGCUGAGAAGAUCUCGGACGUUGCAUUUGCUCGGAACGGCACACGACUGGUUCACCGUGUGAUACGCUGCGAGAUCUUUGCUGAUGGCAUGGAUCGCGGCUUGGAUGCUGGGAGAUUGCCGGUUGGGAUCACUGGAGGAGCCGGGAGCGUGAUCGAUGGAGCCUGACGCUGAUCGUGGGAUGCUGGAGACGCGGGCGUUGCGAUGCGGACGAAGCAGGGACUCGAAAAAGCUGAUCCGGCUGGAACA
rnacentral:lncRNA from 1 species